AUUGAACGCUGGCGGCAGGCCUAACACAUGCAAGUCGAGCGAGCGGCGGACGGGUGAGUAAUGUAUGGGGAUCUGCCCGAUGGAGGGGGAUAACUACUGGAAACGGUAGCUAAUACCGCAUACUAUCGGAUGUACCCAUAUGGGAUUAGCUAGUAGGUGGGGUAAAGGCUCACCUAGGCGACGAUCCCUAGCUGGUCUGAGAGGAUGACCAGCCACACUGGGACUGAGACACGGCCCAGACUCCUACGGGAGGCAGCAGUGGGGAAUCUUCGGCAAUGGGCGAAAGUCUGACCGAGCAAUGCCGCGUGAGUGAAGAAGGUUUUCGGGUCGUAAAGCUCUGUUGGUAGGGAAGCGGUAUCUGAACAGAAAGCCACGGCUAACUACGUGCCAGCAGCCGCGGUAAUAC
rnacentral:rRNA from 1 species